AACGAACGCUGGCGGCAGGCUUAACACAUGCAAGUCGAACGCCCCGCAAGGGGAGUGGCAGACGGGUGAGUAACGCGUGGGAAUCUACCCUGAACUGCGGGAUAGCUCCGGGAAACUGGAAUUAAUACCGCAUGUGCCCUGAGGGGCAAAGAUUUAUCGGUUCAGGAUGAGCCCGCGUCCGAUUAGCUAGUUGGUGGGGUAAAGGCCUACCAAGGCGACGAUCGGUAGCUGGUCUAAGAGGAUGAUCAGCCACAUUGGGACUGAGACACGGCCCAAACUCCUACGGGAGGCAGCAGUGGGGAAUAUUGGACAGUGGGCGCAAGCCUGAUCCAGCCAUGCCGCGUGAGUGAUGAAGGCCCUAGGGUUGUAAAGCUCUUUCACCGGGGACGAUAAUGACGGUACCCGGAGAAGAAGCCCCGGCUAACUUCGUG
rnacentral:rRNA from 1 species